GAAGUUACAGGCAUGAUAGACAGCUCAUCCUGCUCAAUGUUUAAGUGAUUGGCGUGGAGAGAUCAUAAGCCACGGAGGGACAGACAGUGGCGGAGAGAGAGAUGGACUGAGGACUCGGGAAACACACGAUCGCUGUGGUGGAGAGACUUACCAAAGUGCUGUGAACUUACGGUUAUUUGAAAGUGCCAGAGUGCACGAGUUUUGUUUUGUGAAACACUGAAUAAAUUACCCGAGCCUCAGUCACGCCGACUCCGACUUCUUCCUUCCUUGCCUCGAACUUUGUUACACUGGUGCCGAAACCCGGGAAGGAAGAAGCCCGGCCACCGCCAUCAUGCAGUCCCCUCCAAGUUUGCCGUUUGCGGAAGUGAUUAAAUCGCUCGCAGGCCUCCACCAAGAACACCAUCAGGCGCUGCUGGAGAUGUGGGACGACCAGGAACGCCGUUUCCGCUCCCUGAUACAGGCCCAGCAGGAGGACCGUGAGCUGUUCCGGAGCUGGAUGGACCAGGAGGUACGGGCAGGUGGGCCAUCCUCACGAAACCCAGCCGGCCCCACUCAUCUGCCCCUGAAUAAAAUGGGGCCACAGGACGACCCAGUUUCUUUCCUCGAUCUGUUCGAGAAGUCGGCUGAGGCAUGUGGAUGGCCACAGGACCAGUGGCCGGUGUGUCUCAUACCUCUGCUUUCGGGGGAGGCGCAGGUGGCGGCCCAACAAUUGCCCAUCCAAAACCUCCUUCAGCGGGUCGGCCUAAGCCCAGAGCAACAUCGCCAGCGGUUUCGGUCGCUGGAUCUGGGCUAUAGUGGCCGGCCCUUCAUGCUCGCUCAACAGCUCCGGGACGCAUGCCGCAGACGGUGGACGCAUCGACCGAGUGGUGCUGGAGCAGUUCAUCGGCCGUCUCCCGAGGAAGACGGCAGAGUGGGUCCAGUGCCACCGCCCGACGUCGCUAGACCUAGCCAUCCAAUUGGCGGAGGACCAAAUGGUGGCGUGCCCAGGAGUCGGCGAAUCCCUGCCAGCUGUUUCUCUCUCUCUCUCUUCCCCUAAUGUUUCCUCUUCCCCUCGUCCUGUCCCACUUCCCAGGUCCCGUCCGGGCAUUCCUCCUCGGGUCCCACCCCGGGGAAGGGGUGGGCCGUCUCCAGAGGCGGUCGCUGGCACGAGAGCGCUGCCCAGGGGGGCGGGGCUAGCCAGCACGGGGACCACAGCGGUGCCUUUUUCUCCGCUCUCUCCACGUCAGUCCCUUGACCCACUUCCUGCCACUAGGGCGGCAGGGAGGCCUGGGCCGGCCUGUUGGCGGUGCGGGGACCCAGGGCACUUCAUGGACCGGUGCCCAGUGAUGGAGGUGGGGGCACUGAUCCGGGUCGCGGACAGCCCACAGGCUGCCCCCGAUCAAGCUUGAUUGGCGUGGAGAGAUCAUAAGCCACGGAGGGACAGACAGUGGCGGAGAGAGAGAGAUGGACUGAGGACUCGGGAAACACACGAUCACCCGUUGGGGUGGAGAGACUUACCAAAGUGCUGUGAACUUAUGGUUAUUUGAAAGUGCCAGAGUGCACAAGUUUUGUUUUGUGAAACACUGAAUA